AUUGAACGCUGGCGGCAGGCCUAACACAUGCAAGUCGAACGAGUGGCGGACGGGUGAGUAAUGUCUGGGAAACUGCCCGAUGGAGGGGGAUAACUACUGGAAACAGUAGCUAAUACCGCAUACCAUCGGAUGUGCCCGGGUGGGAUUAGCUAGUAGGUGGGGUAACGGCUCACCCAGGCGACGAUGCCUAGCUGGUCUGAGAGGCUGACCAGCCACACUGGAACUGAGACACGGUCCAGACUCCUACGGGAGGCAGCAGUGGGGAAUAUUCGACAAUGGGCGCAAGCCUGAUCGAGCAAUGCCGCGUGUGUGAAGAAGGCUUUCGGGUUGUAAAGUACUGUCAUCGGAGAGGCGUUACUCGCACAGGAAGCAACGGCUAACUCCGUGCCAGCAGCCGCGGUAAUAC
rnacentral:rRNA from 1 species